GGGCCCGCACAAGCGGUGGAGCAUGUGGAUUAAUUCGAAGCAACGCGAAGAACCUUACCUAGCCUUGACAUCCUUGGAACUCUCCCGAAAAGGAGAGGUGCCCUUCGGGGAAUCAAGUGACAGGUGCUGCAUGGCUGUCGUCAGCUCGUGUCGUGAGAUGUUGGGUUAAGUCCCGCAACGAGCGCAACCCUUGUCUUUAGUUGCCAGCAUUAAGUUGGGCACUCUAGAGAGACUGCCGGUGUCAAGCCGGAGGAAGGUGGGGACGACGUCAAGUCAUCAUGGCCCUUACGGCUAGGGCUUCACACGUGCUACAAUGGACGGUACAAAGGGUCGCGAAGCCGCGAGGUGGAGCCAAUCCCAAAAAGCCGUUCUCAGUUCGGAUUGGAGUCUGCAACUCGACUCCAUGAAGUCGGAAUCGCUAGUAAUCGUGGAUC
rnacentral:rRNA from 1 species